rnacentral:rRNA from 1 species
AACGAACGCUGGCGGCAGACCUAACACAUGCAAGUCGAACGAAGUCUUCGGACUUAGUGGCGGACGGGUGAGUAACGCGUGGGAACGUGCCCUUUGCUUCGGAAUAGCCCCGGGAAACUGGGAGUAAUACCGGAUAAGCCCUACGGGGGAAAGAUUUAUCGGCGAAGGAUCGGCCCGCGUUGGAUUAGGUAGUUGGUGGGGUAAUGGCCUACCAAGCCGACGAUCCAUAGCUGGUUUGAGAGGAUGAUCAGCCACACUGGGACUGAGACACGGCCCAGACUCCUACGGGAGGCAGCAGUGGGGAAUCUUAGACAAUGGGGGAAACCCUGAUCUAGCCAUGCCGCGUGAUCGAUGAAGGCCUUAGGGUUGUAAAGAUCUUUCAGUGGGGAAGAUAAUGACUGUACCCACAGAAGAAGCCCCGGCUAACUCCGUG